GAAAAAGACUGUAAGAACUGCUAACUCUUAAUCCCACACUUAAUACCAGUGGCUUUUUCA
rnacentral:tRNA from 1 species